CUUGACGGAACCGAGCCACAACGGCCGCUCCGCGUCCCGCCCCUGGCCGUACGUCGCGAGCAGGGCCUGCGCCUC
rnacentral:antisense_RNA from 1 species